rnacentral:rRNA from 1 species
AGAGUUUGAUCAUGGCUCAGAUUGAACGCUAGCGGGAUGCCUUACACAUGCAAGUCGGACGGCAGCGCGGACUUCGGUCUGGCGGCGAGUGGCGAACGGGUGAGUAAUGUAUCGGAACGUGCCCAGUAGCGGGGACAACCACUCGAAAGAGUGGCUAAUACCGCAUACGCCCUACGGGGAAAGGGGGGGAUCGCAAGACCUCUCACUAUUGGAGCGGCCGAUAUCGGAUUAGCUAGUUGGUGGGGUAAAGGCCUACCAAGGCGACGAUCCGUAGCUGGUUUGAGAGGACGACCAGCCACACUGGGACUGAGACACGGCCCAGACUCCUACGGGAGGCAGCAGUGGGGAAUUUUGGACAAUGGGGAAACCCUGAUCCAGCCAUUCCGCGUGUGCGAUGAAGGCCUUCGGGUUGUAAAGCACUUUUGGCAGGAAAGAAAUCGUGUGGGUUAAUACCCUGCGCGGAUGACGGUACCUGCAGAAUAAGCACCGGCUAACUACGUG